AAUAAAGUGCCUGAUAAAAGGAUUAUUCUGAUAGGAUAAAUAAUGUAAAUAAAAUUUACCUUUAUUA
rnacentral:tRNA from 1 species